AAAGCUUCCUCCUUCCUGCCUGCCCCCUCAGGGCUCUGAGUGCUCUCUGCACAGUCUCUGAAGGCCAGGAUGAGCUCCCCAUGGCAGCUGCUCUGGCUCCUGGUGCUCUGGGCUCAGGAUUCCCAAGGAGCCAUUGUGCUGACUCAGUCUCCAGGCUCCUUAUCCAAAUCUCCAGGAGAGACAGUCACCAUCAGCUGCAAGGCCAGUGAGAGUCUAACACAACAGAUAUUUCUUCAAUCCUUCCAUAAAUUAGCUUGGUACCAGCAGAAACCUGGCCAAGCCCCCAGGCUCCUCAUCUAUGGUGCUUCUAACCUGGAAUCGGGGGUCCCUGCCCGGUUCAGUGGCAGUGGGUCAGGGACAGAUUACACCCUCACCAUCAGCAGCCUGGAGCCUGAAGAUGCUGGACAUUAUUACUGUCAGCAGUCUAAGAGCUCCCCUCUCCCACAGUGCUUCAGGCCCGAACAAAAACCUCCCCAGUGUGUCCAGGGCACUCAGUUCAAAACAGCAGGACAUCAGUGGUCAUGA